rnacentral:lncRNA from 1 species
UAAGAUUCUCUUUUUGUUAGUUAAAUAGAUAUUUAUCUCGUGGGAAAUAAAUCUUGCAUAUGUAGCAAUCUCGAGAGUGAACUUUUAAAUGCCGCCAAAGAAAGAUGCAUGUACCAGACGUGGUUUUAAUUUCGAAAAGUGCCCAGACCAAUUGCUACAUCUUUCAGGUCUUUAAAAGGAAAAAAAAACAAAAUCAUUAAAAAAAAUCGUCAAACCUUACUCGUUUACUUUAUCACGCAACGACACAACAAAAACAACAAAGAAAAAGACAUCUAUGCGAAAGAAAGAAAGAAAGAAAGAAAGAGAAAAGUAAAUACGCGUGGAAUAGAAAUCGAGAAUAGCGUUCUUUGAUCUUUCCAAACAUAGAAGACUACUUGGAAUAGUAGAAGAAAGAUAUAGAA